UACGUAGGGGGCAAGCGUUGUCCGGAAUCAUUGGGCGUAAAGAGCGUGUAGGCGGCUUGAUAAGUCUGCGGUGAAAGUCCAGGGCUCAACCCUGGAAGGCCGGUGGAAACUGUCGGGCUAGAGUCCGGAAGAGGCGAGUGGAAUUCCUGGUGUAGCGGUGAAAUGCGCAGAUAUCAGGAGGAACACCAAUGGCGAAGGCAGCUCGCUGGGACGGUACUGACGCUGAGACGCGAAAGCGUGGGGAGCAAACAGG
rnacentral:rRNA from 1 species